rnacentral:tRNA from 1 species
GGAGAUGUCGCCUAGCUUGGUCGAGGGCGCACGAUUGGAAAUCGUGUAACGCAGAAAUGUGUUCGAGAGUUCGAAUCUCUCCAUCUCCGCCA